rnacentral:rRNA from 1 species
AACGAACGCUGGCGGCAUGCCUAACACAUGCAAGUCGAACGAGAUCUUCGGGUCUAGUGGCGCACGGGUGCGUAACGCGUGGGAAUCUGCCCUUUGGUUCGGAAUAACAGUUGGAAACGACUGCUAAUACCGGAUGAUGACGAAAGUCCAAAGAUUUAUCGCCAGAGGAUGAGCCCGCGUAGGAUUAGCUAGUUGGUGUGGUAAAGGCGCACCAAGGCGACGAUCCUUAGCUGGUCUGAGAGGAUGAUCAGCCACACUGGGACUGAGACACGGCACAGACUACUACGGGAGGCAGCAGUGGGGAAUAUUGGACAGUGGGCGAAAGCCUGAUCCAGCAAUGCCGCGUGAGUGAUGAAGGCCUUAGGGUUGUAAAGCUCUUUUACCCGGGAUGAUAAUGACAGUACCGGGAGAAUAAGCUCCGGCUAACUCCGUGCCAGCCGCCGCAGUAA